GGCCUAGUGGCUCAAUGGCAGGGCAUUGCUUUCCGGUGGCAAAGGUUCUAGGUUCGAGCCCUAGCUGGGUCG